UGGGGAAUAUUGCACAAUGGGCGCAAGCCUGAUGCAGCCAUGCCGCGUGUGUGAAGAAGGCCUUCGGGUUGUAAAGCACUUUCAGCGAGGAGGAAGGUGGUGGACUUAAUACGUUCAUCAAUUGACGUUACUCGCAGAAGAAGCACCGGCUAACUCCGUGCCAGCAGCCGCGGUAAUACGGAGGGUGCAAGCGUUAAUCGGAAUUACUGGGCGUAAAGCGCACGCAGGCGGUUUGUUAAGUCAGAUGUGAAAUCCCCGGGCUCAACCUGGGAACUGCAUUUGAAACUGGCAAGCUAGAGUCUCGUAGAGGGGGGUAGAAUUCCAGGUGGUAGCGGUGAAAUGCGUAGAGAUCUGGAGGAAUACCGGUGGCGAAGGCGGCCCCCUGGACGAAGACUGACGCUCAGGUGCGAAAGCGUGGGGAGCAAACAGGAUUAGGAUACCCUGGUAGUCCACGCUGUAAACGAUGUCGAUUUGGAGGUUGUGCCCUUGAGGCGUGGCUUCCGGAGCUAACGCGUUAAAUCGACCGCCUGGGGAGUACGGCCGCAAGGUUAAAACUUAAAGGAAUUGACGGGGUCAUAGCUGUUUCCU
rnacentral:rRNA from 1 species